ensembl:snRNA U6 U6 spliceosomal RNA
AUGCUAAUUUCAGGCAACACUUUUACAAAAAUUAGAAUGAUACAGAGGUUAGCAUGAUCCCUGCACCAGGAUGACAUUCAAAUUCACAAAGCACUCCAUAUUCUA